AUUGAACGCUGGCGGCAGGCCUAACACAUGCAAGUCGAGCGAGACGCGGACGGGUGAGUAAUGUAUGGGAACCUGCCUGAUGGAGGGGGAUAACUACUGGAAACGGUAGCUAAUACCGCAUACCAUCAGAUGUGCCCAGAUGGGAUUAGCUGGUGGGUGGGGUAAUGGCUAACCAAGGCGACGAUCCCUAGCUGGUCUGAGAGGAUGACCGGCCACACGGGAACGGAGAAACGGCCCAGACUCCUACGGGAGGCAGCAGUGGGGAAUAUUGGAAAAUGGGGGAAAGCCUGAUGCAGCCAGGCCGCGUGUGUGAAGAGGGCCUUCGGGUGUUAAGGCACGUUCAGCGAGGAGGCGGUACUCGCAGAAGAAGCACCGGCUAACUACGUGCCAGCCGCCGCGGUAAUUC
rnacentral:rRNA from 1 species